rnacentral:tRNA from 2 species
GUAAAUAUAAUUUAACUAAAAUAUUAGAUUGUGAAUCUAAACAUAGAAGUUUAUCUCUUCUUAUUUACC